UAGGGAAUCUUCCGCAAUGGACGAAAGUCUGACGGAGCAACGCCGCGUGAGUGAUGAAGGUUUUCGGAUCGUAAAACUCUGUUGUUAGGGAAGAACAAGUAUCGUUCGAAUAGGGCGGUACCUUGACGGUACCUAACCAGAAAGCCACGGCUAACUACGUGCCAGCAGCCGCGGUAAUACGUAGGUGGCAAGCGUUGUCCGGAAUUAUUGGGCGUAAAGCGCGCGCAGGCGGUUUCUUAAGUCUGAUGUGAAAUCUUGCGGCUCAACCGCAAGCGGCCAUUGGAAACUGGGAGACUUGGGUGCAGAAGAGGAGAGUGGAAUUCCACGUGUAGCGGUGAAAUGCGUAGAGAUGUGGAGGAACACCAGUGGCGAAGGCGACUCUCUGGUCUGUAACUGACGCUGAGGCGCGAAAGCGUGGGGAGCGAACAGG
rnacentral:rRNA from 1 species